rnacentral:tRNA from 1 species
UCUUAGGUAGUAUAGUGGUUAGUAUUCGUGCCUGUCGCGCACGAGACCGGGGUUCAAUUCUCUCGCCUGCGAG